UAUCAAAUCAUAAAAGAUCACCAUAUUUGCUCUAACAUCUUCAAAAUUUCUCACGCCCCGGAUUACACAUUUUUCCGGGCACGCCGACAAAUCCGCCGUAUACAAAAGAAUUUUCCCUGUAUACGAAGCGAUAGCUGUACCUAUAAACAAAUUCAAGUAACAACUAGUAGUAUAGAGCUGCUAAACUGAACUGAAUAUAAAUAAAUAUCAGGUUCACUAUACAUACAAUGUCACCCAGAUACAAUAUCCCUCGCUCAACCGAGUAACAAGUAUAAGUAUGUACAUGAACCAAAAACCAAAACUGCCUGUAGCUGGUACU
rnacentral:lncRNA from 1 species